rnacentral:rRNA from 1 species
UACGGAGGGGACUAGCGUUGUUCGGAAUUACUGGGCGUAAAGCGCACGUAGGCGGAUUUGUAAGUCAGGGGUGAAAUCCCGGAGCUCAACUCCGGAACUGCCUUUGAUACUGACCAUCUAGAGAUCGGAAGAGGUAAGUGGAAUUCCCAGUGUAGAGGUGAAAUUCGUAGAUAUUGGGAAGAACACCAGUGGCGAAGGCGGCUUACUGGUCCGAUACUGACGCUGAGGUGCGAAAGCGUGGGGAGCAAACAGG